rnacentral:rRNA from 1 species
UACGGAGGAUGCGAGCGUUAUCCGGAUUUAUUGGGUUUAAAGGGUGCGUAGGCGGACGCUUAAGUCAGCGGUAAAAAUGCGGUGCUCAACGCCGUCGAGCCGUUGAAACUGGCGUUCUUGAGUGGGCGAGAAGUAUGCGGAAUGCGUGGUGUAGCGGUGAAAUGCAUAGAUAUCACGCAGAACUCCGAUUGCGAAGGCAGCAUACCGGCGCCCUACUGACGCUGAGGCACGAAAGCGUGGGUAUCGAACAGG